rnacentral:rRNA from 1 species
CCCUUAGAUGUUCUGGGCAGCACGCGCGCUACAAUGGUCUCCGCAAACGGAUGCAUUCUCGAAGGAGAAUGCCAAUCUUGGAAUCUAUGCCUUGGUCGGGACAGUUGCUUGCAAUUUUUCGACUCGAACCAGGAAUUCCUUGUAAUCGUGAUUCAUCACAUCACGAUGAAUACGUCCCUGCCCUUUGUACACACCGCCCGUCGCUCCUACCGAUCGAAGAGUUAGGUGAAUUGUUUUGAUCGAUAAGAUUUGACUAUGGUCAACUCUCGUUGUGAAAUUCUGUGAAUCUGACUGUUUAGAGGAAGGAAAAGUCGUAACA